rnacentral:rRNA from 1 species
CCCUUAGAUGUCCUGGGCCGCACGCGUGCUACGCUGACACUUGCAACGAGUACUUUGCUUUACCGAAAGGUAAUGCUAAUCAUCAAUAAGUGUCGUGAUGGGGAUAGAUCUUUGGAAUUAUGGAUCUUGAACGAGGAAUGCCUAGUAAGCGUAGGUCAUUAGCCUACGCUGAUUAAGUCCCUGCCCUUUGUACACACCGCCCGUCGCUCCUACCGAUUUCGAGUGGUCCGGUGAAACUUUUGGACCGUGCGACUUUAUUGUUGUCACGGAAAGUCAGUUAAACCAUACUACUUAGAGGAAGGAGAANUCGUANCA